GGGUGUUUUUAGAGGGAGCGGGACGGGGGAGCCAGCAGGAAGAAGAGGCGAGGGAUACGAGACGGACGGCACGGGCAGAGAGCACGCAAGUCUUAAGAGAGUGUUGGCGAUGGUGGUGGCGGCAGUGACGGGCCCAGUGAUCCUGCCCAUCAAGCUCCUCAUGGAUGUUUUGGAGUGUUGGAGGCAGCGAUGUGCCCAAUGAUACUGCUCAUCAAACUCUUAAGUCUCUGCUUGUUUUGCUCUGGAGACGUCGGGGAACGGAGAGGGCAAGGUUCUGGAGGAGGUUGGGGGACAGGUUUGCCCAGAUGUCUUGCAGCUCGGCGAUAAGAUUUGGUAUGCUUGAAGUGUUGCGACCCCGUAGGUGGGCUUUCAUCAAAGCCCACAGGUUCUCGAUGGGGUUAACCCCUUCAAUACAAUGACGCCUACGUAGGCGUCAUGAAGCCCCAGUAGCAUAUACGAUGACGCCUACGUAGGCGUCAUAUUUCUAUUCUGUUUCUUCUUCUAUUGAGUUGUCCCGUACUUUGUGUUGGUUACUAAGUAAAGACGCCGUAUGCUGUCCUUGAAAUCCUAUUGCUCCUCCCACCAUCCUUGUUCCCACCAAUCACAAAAAAUGAGCUACAGUAUGCACCGCCUUCUUCCCGCCUUGUGUCUAAAAUUAGGAAGUCUCAUUCUCUCUCUCUCUCUCUCUCUCUCUCUCUCUCUCUCUCUCUCUCUCUCUCUCUCUCUCUCUCUCUCUCUCUCUCUCUCUCUCUCU